rnacentral:rRNA from 1 species
CUGGCGGCGUGCUUAACACAUGCAAGUCAGAACGAUGAACCACUUCGGUGGGGAUUAGUGGCGAACGGGUGAGUAACACGUGGGCAAUCUGCCCUUCACUCUGGGACAAGCCCUGGAAACGGGGUCUAAUACCGGAUACCACUACCGCAGGCAUCUGUGGUGGUUGAAAGCUCCGGCGGUGAAGGAUGAGCCCGCGGCCUAUCAGCUUGUUGGUGAGGUAAUGGCUCACCAAGGCGACGACGGGUAGCCGGCCUGAGAGGGCGACCGGCCACACUGGGACUGAGACACGGCCCAGACUCCUACGGGAGGCAGCAGUGGGGAAUAUUGCACAAUGGGCGAAAGCCUGAUGCAGCGACGCCGCGUGAGGGAUGACGGCCUUCGGGUUGUAAACCUCUUUCAGCAGGGAAGAAGCGAAAGUGACGGUACCUGCAGAAGAAGCGCCGGCUAACUACGUGCCAGCAGCCGCGGUAAUACGUAGGGCGCAAGCGUUGUCCGGAAUUAUUGGGCGUAAAGAGCUCGUAGGCGGCUUGUCACGUCGGGUGUGAAAGCCCGGGGCUUAACCCCGGGUCUGCAUUCGAUACGGGCUAGCUAGAGUGUGGUAGGGGAGAUCGGAAUUCCUGG